GAAGCACAGCACAGCAGCUAAUCAACGCGAAGAGCCUCACUCGCACCAGCACCGGUAUCUCUAGCACUGCUGCACACCACCUUUUGAGCAUAGCGAGCACUUGGCCACUGCCACUUCUUUUCCAGCUUCAGACACGCACCGGCUAAGCUUUUCAGCCAAGGCGCCUGCGUGUGUGUGUGGCCCGGCUUCCUCAACGUAUACCCAUGUAGGCACUCCAUCACACACGCACACCUCUCUCUCUCCCCCUUCGCUUGUCUUGUAGAUACGCCCUGCUCCUCCGCCUUUCCUUUUCUGUUACAAAGCCACUCAGUCACACCUGGGAAGCUCCCUCUCCAUUCCCCACAGCCCGCACACAGACACACUUCUUUUUAUUGGGUGUUGCUACGCGCGUCUGCCGUCUCCUCAUCACUCGCGGAUUCCCCUUGCUUCUCUCUCCUCAGCCCCUCCUUGUGUGUGCGUGUGCGUGUUUCUCGCUGUUUUGUGUUGUUGUCUCGGUGACACCUUGCAGAGGCGUUACGUGGUACACACGGCACUGGUUUUCUUCUGCCCAUUCUCUCGCCUAUCCUCCCCGCGCGCUGCUCACUCCCACACAUCCCCAUCGCAGAUUCCUGCAGCUGCUCCUCUUCUUGUUUCCUCCACUGUCGACAUUCCGCGUGCCUGCUCUUGUGCGUGUGCGUCGGUGCAACGCGCUUCUCUGGUCUUCGAUACUGACUCACGUACUGGCACACCAAUGCACGGCGGCAGCAGCAACAGCGGGGCAGCGGCGCGGCUGCAAAAGGAGCUCGUAGAGGUGAUGAUGAGUGAUGCCGAGGGCAUCUCCGCCUACCCGGAGGACGACAACCUAUUCCGCUGGAUCGGCAGCGUCAAGGGCGUACCGAAUACGCCGUAUGAGGAGCUCGAGUACAACUUGCUGCUUGUUUUUCCGCCCAACUACCCGUACGAGGCGCCCACUGUCACAUUCAUGACGCCGUGCUUCCACCCGAACGUAGAUACGCGUGGGGCCAUCUGCCUCGACAUCCUCAAGGAGAAAUGGUCGGCCGUCUACUCGGUGAGCUCCAUCUUGCUGUCCAUCCAGAACCUACUCAACAACCCGAACAACGAGUCACCGCUGAACAAUCAUGCCGCGCAGCUCUGGCACGACAGGGAGCAGUUCACCAUCGCUGUGCGGGCCACUCACGGUGGAGCGCCAGGCUCUUAGACGCGUGCCUGCCGCUACGUGCUACGUGCGUGUGUGUGUGUGUAUGUGUGUGUGUGAGAGUCUGUGCGUUGCUGAGUCCUAGAGCUUUGUGUGCUCCCCACUGGUGCAACGGCGCGUGCGGCGACGUUUGGUGCACGGGAGGGGGUAGGUGGCCACUAACCGAUGUCCACAACGCUAGUACGGCUGCGCGCUGCUGGCGGCCUCUUCCCUCUCUCCGCACAAAACCAAUGGGGUGCGCAUGCUAUACAUGGCCUAACGCGACUGUGUGCGCGCGUGGGCCCCACCGCGUGUGCACGUCUGGUUCACGUGUCCAUGCUCUACAUGGACGUGCGUGCAUGGGUGGUGGUGUGUACACGGCGGUGCGCGCAGCACGUGCUGGCAUGCACGCCCCUGGUUGGCCGGCAAGCAGAUGAAACCGAAGAGUACGGAAAGAAGGAGGGGUGAUAGUGUGCCGCUUCUCCUCGGCCUUUGGUCCGCCGGCAAAGCACCCGCGUAGCCCGAGAAGGCACUGAUCGUUCGGUGCUCGAGUGCUGCACACGUGCGGGCAUACGUUUAUUUUCGUCUUUUUUGUCUUCCCUUCGUGUCUGUACGGGUAAGCCCCCCCCCCCCACCUCCUUCCGCUCAGCAUAUCGCUCCUCCUGUCUACUUCUCCCGCCUCACCUCCUGUGCACACGCGUCCGUGUGUAUGUGUGUGUAUGUGUGGAGCGAACACCCUCUAUCUCUCGCAGUACUGCAUACUCUCUCCCUCCCCCUUCCCCCCUUGCCUUCCUCGGUGUUAUGCAAAG
rnacentral:misc_RNA from 1 species